rnacentral:lncRNA from 1 species
AAUCCAGGCGGAUAAAGUGGAUCGUCGACUUGGGCUUGAGUAGAACUGGGAUGAUUUGCAUCUGAAAGGCCAGGAAUCGAGGAAGGCGGGGCUUGUCCAUUUGCCCAGGCCUGAUACAUUUCCGCAAUUUGUUGCUUCAAUAACCUAUUCUCCUCCAAAGAUGCGAACUCUCGUGGGACUAACUGAUCUCGACCUUCUUCAUUAUCAGAUUCUGUUCCAUCUUUUCGAGUCAUCUUUCUUUUUCCUUUAUACCUUGUGUUGUACGGGUGAGAGGCCAGCUUAACCAC